ACCACAAACUAAGUACAAGGCAAAGCAAAUACGUCUGCAAGGCCUACGCAACAGUGUGACCCUGGACUGCACGUGGUUCAAGGAUGAAGGUCUCCAGUGGCGGCCCAGGACCAUGGACUUGGAAAGAAGCACACUUUUAGUUUUUGCGUUGUUCCCUCUCACCUUCGCAGCUGCUGGCUUCUUAAUCACACUGUUUGCUCUGUAACCAUUUUCUUGUGGAGUCCCUGGCUUUAUCUGACCCCCGUGACCUUGAUUGAGAAAACCUGAUGCUGAGAUGCUUUUCCUCAGAUGUGGGUUGAGCAGGUGAGGGUCUGCUGGGUUUUAUAAUGAACUUCAAUCCCUCAGGGCUGGAGUCUAUUUGGAAAACAAUCCUGUCUGUGACUGGCCGGAGAGGGGCUUACUUUUAGAAAAUACCAGUGAACGUGUGUCUGAGCAGCCAGUCUGCUAGGCUGAAUCUGCCCUCGCUGGCUAGAGUUGGGGUGCAAAUUCUGCCUACACCAAGCACUGCCAGCCCCUGUCACCAAGGCAGAGCAACUGUGCUUGGCCGAUAGUCACUUCAGCCACGGCCACCCUCUUCUCUGAAUGAAGCACAACGGAGAGCCAGUCACUGGCCUGAGAUCAGGUGGCUGUUUAGCCUCAGACCCAAGAUUUGCCCCCAGCCGACUUGGUUAGGACUCAGGUUCAUCACCUCUGAGCUGCGCCCAAGAUCUCAGCCCCUGUAACGGGAGGAUGGCAAGUCUGCUUAGGGGAACGCAUGGGUGACAUCUGGAAGGACGUGGUGACGGGGUGAACAUCUGGGAAAAGGUGACAGGCAUGUCGGUGACGUCCCAGGAUGUACUCAGGUUCAACUGCAUGAGACCCAUCGCACAGAGGGGUAUGUAGAGCUUCGGGAGCUUAGCUUCCCACCUCUGGGGUCACCAGGACCAGCCAAGUGCAGAGACAUCAGCAAGACUCCAGGUCUCCCUAAAAAUCCAGCUUCUAAAAGGCCUGUUUAUUGGCAGGGUUCCCUGGUCCCCACUGUGGCUUCUUGGGGCAAGUGUUGGGGAGGGGAGGCCUCUUUGGCCUCGUGGGUAUGUCACAUGGCACAUCCCAGCGGGGCUCUGGGGCUGUGUGGAAACCCUCAGCGGCCUUGUGAUCUGGCCGGAAGCCUGAAGGGAUGAUGUUUUGUUAGUUGCGCUGCGCUGACCGUGGCCUGGGGCUCUUUAAGGGGAAGCCACGGUCCUGGGCCACGUGUUAUGCUGCCGCCACAGCGUUACAGUUCUCUUCCCCUUAUCUGCAUAAACAGCACAACUUUGUCAGAAAAUUGAAAACGUGCACUUUGUCCCAUCAGCUAAAAGGGACUGUCAGAUAAGGCUUUUUUGUUUCCCUCUCUGUUGUAUCCAAUGUAUGAUGUAAAUGGUUUUUUGGCUUUGGAGUUUUUUUGUUUUUUUUGUUUUGCCAGGCACUAGAGUAAAUGAUCAGAGUAGUAACAUUUUUAACCUUAUCUAUCAUCCUGAAACAUUUUUUCUGCCUCCAAUAAAACAUGUCAGAGUCGAUUAAGGACAUUUUUCAAUGAGGUAUAAUGCAAAUUUUAGUCGUGACUCCAAGAGCACUGAAGUAUUAAAGAGGCUGUGAAUACUUAAUUACGGGCAGGUUUCCCUCCUACCUUUGGCCUGAACACCCCCCUCCCCACCCCUGAAGCUUGGGAGCUCUGCCCUGAAACCGCGAGGGGUCGGAGGAGGAGGAACGGCAGGUACCGUGGCCGGGGAUGUGUCACAUCGUAUCUGGUGACAGGGCCGUGAGAGAUACGGCGGCUCAGUGCGUUUGGCGGUGCUUAUCUGGUACAUGAGUGCACAUUACUUCCCAAAGACGGGGAUCUCUUUGGACAGUAUCAUUAAAUGCCACGUCAUUACCUGUUAUGGAGCAGUGCUUUAGCUUCAAGGGCCUCUCGGGACUCGUGCAACAGUCAGAAGAAUGAUGGGCAAAGAUGGAGCCGGCAUUAAAUUUUCAAUGGAAGCAGGAUUGGCUUUGACUUUUCAGAAGCCUUAUCUGUUAGAUGGUGUUUGUCACUGGGCCGCGGAGCUGUUGGAUGUUCGUCAGUUGAAAGUUGCAGGCAGUUGAACGUUAUGGGCAGGUGAAGGCUCCGUGGGGACCGGCUGGGCUCGCGGAGAGCUGGAGGGGGUAAAUUGAAGGUUUAUUUAUCCCAUUCGCUGUCAAGGUCAGCUUGCUAGAGAGCUGUCCUAUGGAUGCUUACAAAUGCCAAAAUCCUGGCAAAUUGUCGGAGAAAGCCUCCAAACCACUGACCUUUGUACAGCUCCCAUCAACGUGCCCGUGUCUCCGCGCGGGGUCCUUAGAGGGAGUUAAAUGCUUGGUAAAAUGAGGCUUAGGCUGUAGCUGUAAUGUCAGCCGGGCUGCUGUGUGUUUUUUAUUUUCGUGUUUUCAGCAACGAGGAUGAAGUUAAAGAUAUGACCGAUGAAACGGGGACGUGGCGGGGGCGGGGGGAGCACUGCGCAUAAUUAUGCUGGUGUGGGUUUUGGCAAAUGAGUGGGUCCAGAUUUCUGCAUUCGAAUGUGUCUCCAGCGUCAAGGCGGAGGCAGGCGUUUGAGUGUCUCCAUUGUUCUGGUCUUUGUUGAACAGGGGCGGGUAUUUUGAGGUUCCUUUGUCCUUUCUUCCCACCCACAGCCCCCGGGGUAGCCAUAGGGUCUCUGUGGCUGGCUGUUCUGAGCAAUGGGCUCUCCUGCCGUGGAUUUCUGGUCUGACUUUGCUGUGACAGCUAAUUUAGGGAGGCAGGACAGAGCCAAUCAUGUCUGAUCUUUCUUUGGUUGAGAGCGGAAAUUUACUCAGCAGUGACACAGGGAGGUAAUUGAGGACGAGCCAGACAGUGGAAUACUAUGCAUCCAUUAAAAGGAAGGCUCUGGGCAAAGACCUCUUGCUUUGGCGAGCUAUCCGUGGAUCUGAAGAGAGGAGAGGGUGUGGAUCCUAUGAUCAGAUUGACAAAAGAAUAAAACCAUACUUCUCCCCAGGGGUGCCAGAUAAAAUACAGGAUGCUUAAUACAUUUGAAUUUCAGAAAGUGAGAAAUAAUUCAAAACAGUUAAAAAUGAUGUGCUGCUGGAGUUCCUGUUGUGGCGCAGUGGAAAUGAAUCUGACUAGUAUCCAGGAGGAUGCAUGUUUGAACCCUGGCCUUGCUCAGCGGGUUAAGGAUCGGUGUUGCCGUGAGCUGUGGUAUGGUUUGCGGAUACGUCUCGGAUGCCGCGUGGCUGUGGCUGUGGCAUAGUCUGGCAGCUCUAGCUCUGAUUCGACCCCUAGCCUGGGACCUUCCAUAUGCUGCACU
rnacentral:lncRNA from 1 species